CAGCAGUCGCCGCGGUAAUACGUAGGUGGCAAGCGUUGUCCGGAAUUAUUGGGCGUAAAGCGCGCGCAGGUGGUUUAAUAAGUCUGAUGUGAAAGCCCACGGCUCAACCGUGGAGGGUCAUUGGAAACUGUUAAACUUGAGUGCAGGAGAGAAAAGUGGAAUUCCUAGUGUAGCGGUGAAAUGCGUAGAGAUUAGGAGGAACACCAGUGGCGAAGGCGGCUUUUUGGCCUGUAACUGACACUGAGGUGCGAAAGCGUGGGGAGCAAACAGGAUUAGAUACCCCCGUAGUCCCUGUCUCUUAUAC
rnacentral:rRNA from 1 species